CACCGCGGUUAUACGAAGGGCCCAAAUUGAUAGCCAUCGGCGUAAAGGGUGGUUAAGAUUAUAUUCAAAUAAAGCCAAAUGCCUUCAAAGCUGUAAUAAGCAUCCGAAGAUAAGAGGCUCAACUACGAAAGUGGCUUUACAAGAUCUGACCCCACGAAAGCUAGGGCA
rnacentral:rRNA from 1 species